rnacentral:rRNA from 1 species
AGGCUCGUCAAUCGAAAUGAGCACAAUUUAAAUCCUUUAACGAGUACCAAUUGGAGGGCAAGUCUGGUGCCAGCAGCCGCGGUAAUUCCAGCUCCAAUAGCGAAUAUUAAAUUUGUUGCAGCUAAAAAGCUCGUAGUUGGAUCCAAGGUUAGGCAUGCCUGUCUGUUCUUAGUAGCAUGACUGUGUGUGUCUGCCUUUAUUAGUUGAAUGUUCAUUAUGGUGGUCUUCAUCGACUGCUAUGAUGUGCUCAACACGUUUACCUUGAAAAAAUCAGAGCGAUCAAGGCAGGCCUUCGUGCUUGUAUGUUGUUGCAAGGAAUAAUAGAAUAGGACUUCGGUUCUAUUUUGUUGGUUUUGAGAAUUGAAGUAAUGAACAAUAGAGACAGUCGGGGGCAUUUGUAUGGUGGCGUUAGAGGUGAAAUUCUGAGAUCGUCGCCAGACAAACUACUGCGAAAGCAUUUGCCAAGGAUGUCUUCAUUAAUCAAGAACGAAAGUCAGAGGUUCGAAGACGAUCAGAUACCGUCCUAGUUCUGACCAUAAACGAUGCCGACCUACAAUCGGGGGUGGUUUAUUAUAUUGACCCUCCCGGCUGUCCUCAGGAAACUUUAAGUUGGUUCUGGGGGGAAUAUGGUCUCAAGACUGAAACUUAAAGGAAUUGACGGAAGGGCACCACCAGGGGUGGAGCCUGCGGCUUAAUUUGACCCAACACGGGGAAUCUCACCCGGUCCGGACACUGGUAGGAUGGACAGAUUGAUAGCUCUUUCUUGAUUCAGUGGGUGGUGGUGCAUGGCCGUUCUUAGUUGGUGGAGUGAUUUGUCUGGUUAAUUCCGAUAACGAACGAGACUCUGUCCUGCUAAAUAGUCCAGUGGCAUCAAUCACUAUGUGAUUACAGCUGCUGUUACUUCUUAGAGGGAUUCGCGGAUUUAAACCGCAAGAAAUAGAGCAAUAACAGGUCUGUGAUGCCCUUAGAUGUCCGGGGCCGCACGCGCGCUACAUUGACAGUAGAAGCGAGUAUUUCUACCUGGUUCGAAAGAAUUGGGAAAUCUUCGAAUUACUGUCUCCACAGGGAUUGAGGUUUGCAAUUUUGCCUCAUGAACGAGGAAUUCCCAGUAGGCGCAAGUCAUCAGCUUGCGUCGAUUACGUCCCUGCCCUUUGUACACACCGCCCGUCGCUACUACCGAUUGAGUGCAUUAGUGAGGACCUCGGAUUGAGAACAUAGUGGCGCAAGUUACUUUGUUUUCGAAAAGUGGUUCAAAUUUGUGCAUUUAGAGAUAGUAAAAGUCGU